UCCCCACUCCCACGUGCACCUCGCCGCCAUUUAGCGUGCCCCCGGUCGUCUGCUCCGCGCCCUAGGUUUCUCUCUUCGUUUCCUCCUCAUCGAAUCGGAGCUUCGCAUAGUGUCCCUCGUCGCCGCCGGCGCCGGCGCCGGCAGCCAUGUCCAUGCUCCUUAUACAGAAACAACCCCUCCCUCUCUCCGUUCGUCCCCGCACGACUCUCCGCCAGUGCCGUCUCCCCACGACUCGAUUCUCCGCCGCCGCCGCCGACUCGGCUAGCCGCGCUGCCCCCUUCGCCGUCGAGGACUACCUCGUCGCCGCAUGCCACCUAACCCCGGCGCAGGCGCUCAAGGCCUCCAAGGUGCUCUCGCACCUCAAGUCACCCUCCCGACCCGACGCCGUGCUAGCCUUCCUCUCGGGCCUCGGUCUCUCCGACGCCGACAUCGCCGCCGCCGUCGCCUACGACCCCAAGCUUCUCUGCUCCGAGGUCGAGCGCACGCUGGCCCCGCGUCUCGCGGAGCUCCGGGAUCUCGGCCUCUCUCCGUCUCAGAUCGCCCGCCUCGCACUCGUCGACCCCGCGCGCUUCCGCCGCCCCACCGUCGUCUCCAAGCUGCAGUAUUAUGUCCCCCUCUUCGGUUCCUUCGAGAACCUGCUCCAGGCUCUCAGGAACAACGCCUACCUUCUCAGCUCGGACCUCGAGCGCGUUGUGAAGCCCAACGUCGCGUUCCUGGUGGAGUGCGGGCUAGAUGCUUGUGAUAUUGCCAAGCUGUCCAUACCCGUCCCUAGGUUGAUCACCACCAACCCAGAACGCGUCCGGGCAAUGGUGGAGCGAGCUGAAGCUGUCGGUGUGCCUCGUGGCACUGGGAUGUUUAGGCACGCACUGCUGGCUGUUGCAUUCCUCAGCGAGGAAAAGAUCAAAGCUAAGGCAGAGUUUUUGAAGACAACAUUUCGGUGGUCGGAUGCUGAGGUGGGCGUUGCGGUUUCCAAGCUGCCAUUGGUGCUCAAGCACUCCAAGGACAGGCUGCGCCGCAUGUCAGAGUUCCUGAUCACCAAGGUUGGGUUGGAGCCAGAGUACAUUGCUCACAGGCCUGCUCUGCUUACAUAUAGCUUGGAACGCCGCCUCAUGCCCCGACACUAUGUUGUGAAUUACCUGAAGGAAAAUGGAUUGUUGGAGCAGGACCGGAGCUACUAUACUGCUGUCCAGAUGAGUGAGAGUGCCUUCAUGGAUAAGUUCAUAUGCCCCUACAAGGAAGCUGCACCAAGCCUCGCCCUAGAUUAUGCUGCUGCUUGCAGAGGAGAGGUGCCCACUACCUUCUUGGCAAAUGUUUAACCCUUCAGUGUAAAGCAAUGUUUUGACACUUAGCAGUGAGCUGGUAAUUUUGUUUCUUUCCUUGCCUAACUGCUACAUCCCGCAGCUGUGUCUUUAGAAUUGGCUCUGGUACAUAAGAUGUGAGCCAUGGUUAUUACCAGGGCUAGAUUUAUCUUUGCUCUCUGUUAUUCAAGCUGAUCAAGUAUUCCAAUUUCACCUGUCACUGUAUGGUAUGGAUUUAGUUGGGGAAAACUGGAAGCCAUUUUGAACCAAAGACGAUUCAGAAAUAAGACUGUCUGGGAGAUUAAUCCACUCUGGACUUCACAAAAGCACUUGUUAUCGGAAAGUUUUGUAUUGGAUUAUCUUAAAGUUGGCCAAACCUGCUACCUACAACAAGGCUCUUUCGGUGAAAUUCUGAAAGCAAAUUGGCGAGGAACACCCAUUGCUGUCAAACGCAUUCUUCCAUCCUUAUCUGAUGACAGGCUGGUGAUGCGCAGGCCAAUGCAGAAAGUGUUCACUCUGAAGACGCCCCAACUUGUUCAUACAGUAGUGUACUUUCAGUUAUUUUGUUUUUGUUAUUGGUUUGUAUGAAUGCUGUAGUUGGUUUCAUGUUUGGAUAUGCUUGUAUGAUUAUUAAUCUGGAAAUGGUACAAACAAUUCAGAUGAACAUUUUUAGUGUACGAAAAUAUGGUUUAAUUUGUUUA